UAAACUGUAGCUCUCAUAAUCCCCGUGUGUCAUGGGAGGAACUCAGUGGGAGGUAAUUGAAUCAUGAGGGUGGGAUUUUCCCAUGCUGUUCUUAAGAUAGUGCACAAGUCUCAUGAGAUGUGAUGGUUUUAUCAAGGAGAGUUCCCCUGCACAUACUCUCUUGCCUGCUGCCAUGUGAGACAUGACUUUGCUCUUCUUUCACCAUCUGCCAUGACUGUGAGGCCUCCUCAGCCAUGUGGAACUAACAAGGGGGAGUCUCCCUGCACAAGCUCUCUCUCUUUGCCUGCUGUCAUCCACCUAAGAUGUAACUUGCUCCUCCUUGCCUUCCACCAUGAUUGUGAGGCUUCCCCAGCCACGUGGAACUGUUCAAAUUUCCAUCUGGUGUCAUUUUUCUUCUACCUGAAGAAUUUUCUUGAAUAUUCCUUAUAGCAUAGGUCUGCUGGCAAUAAAUUAUCAGUUUUGGCUUGUCUGAAAAUUUUUUGUUUUGCUUUAAUUUUUUAAACCACUUUUUUGAGAUAUAAUUGAUAUACAAUAAACUGCACAAAUUUAAAGUGUAUAAUUUAACAAGGUUUGAUGUUUGUGUACACCUAUGAAACAAUUACCACAAUCAAAAUAAUGAAUAUAUCCAUAACUCCCCAAAGUUUCUUCAUUUCUCUUUGUAAUCCCUCUUUCCACUUCUCCAUGUUACCGCUUCCUUGGGCAAGAACUGAUCUACUAAUCUAUGAUCACAGAUUAGUUUUCACUUUUCCUAGAAUUUUAUGUAAAUAGAAUCAUAUAGUGUGCACUCAUUUUUGUCUGGCUUUUUUUUUUUUUUUUUUUUUUUGAGACCGGAUCUUGCUCUUUUACCCAGGCUGUGCAGUGGCACCAUCUUGGCUCAUUGCAAUCUCCACCUCCUAGCCUUAAGGGAUCCUCCUGCCUCAGCCCCCUAAGUACCUGGGAUUACAGGCACAAGCCACCACACCUGGCUAAUUUUUGUAUUUUUUUGUAGAGAUGGGGUUUCACUAUCUCUACACCAUGUUGCCCAAGCUGGUCUUGUACUCCUCAGCUCAAGUGAUCCACUCACCUUGGCCUUCUGAAGUAUUAGGAUGACAGACAAGCCACCAUGCCCAGCUGUCUGGCUUCUUUCACUUAGAAUAAUUACUUUGAGUUUCAUUUAUUUUGCAUGUAUCAAUAUAUCAUAUGACAUAAUUUGUAUGUUUAUUCAUCUGUUAAUGGACAUAUGGGUCAUUUCCAGGUUUUGGCUAUUACAAAUAAAACUUCUGUGAACCUUUGUGUGCAUGCUUUUAUUUAGAAAUAUGCGUUAAUUUCUCUUGGUUUUUGCCUAAUUUUUUAAAGAUAUUUUUGACCAGUGUAGAAUUCUAGAAUUGCGAGCCUUUUUCUUUCCAUAUCUUUGUGAUGUCAUCUGGUUUGCAAGUCUGAGGCAAGUCUGGUUUGCAAGUCUGCUGUAAUUCUUACUUUUAUUCCUUUAUGUAUAAUGCAUCUUUUUUCCUCUGGCUGAUUUAAAUUUUUUUAUCUUUUUCAUUAAAUUUCAGCAAUUUGAUUAUGAUGUGCCUUGUGUGGUUUUUCUUCAUGUUUGGGAUUUAUUGAGCGUUUUGGAUCUGUAGGUUUAUCAUUUUUAUCACAUUUGGAAAUUUUUUGACUAUUCUUCAAAUAUUUUU
rnacentral:lncRNA from 10 species